AGCAUCAGAAGAAUGCCCUCUCAGGGGGAAGCAAUUGUUUUCGCGUAUAAUUUCGACACAUUUGCCAUUAUGGCAGCGCAGUCGCGAGAUGCUUUUGCUUUAUUACUUUUUUUUAUAAUGGAGGGAGGGUCCCGCCCAGUGUCUAGGGUUCAGGGCCCGCGGCCUCCACGAUCCGGGUGCAACAAAAACCCAGCGAGCACUGCUGCGUGCCCGGCGCUGCUAGGGACAUCAGGAGAGGGCAGAAGCCUGUGCUCCCGGAGUCGCCUUUCAGCAGGGACGCGCUGGGUGACCUCCAGCGAGUCACUGGAGCCUGCAGAAUCUCAUUUGAGAAGUUGGAUAAGAUCUCUGCCCCCACCGCCCAGGCCCCAGGGGAGCUGUGCAGACUGACUCUCUUCUGAAGAGUCCCUUGGAAAUGUUUUGGCGGUGGCAAGAGAAAGAGCUUUGCUUGUUCUUCAGAAAGACUUGCCGGAGUCAGACACUGAGGACUCCAGAGCAUCUGGAGGAAGCCCAAGGGCCACCUCCCCUGAGAAGCCUUCCUUCGCCAGCCUGAAUAAAAUGGACCUCUAUACACACACCUGUCUCAGUGGUGGCAGUGGCAGGCCAUCUGGAGCGGCUGCUGCUGUCACACCAGCUGCAGCAGGGAGGCACGGCUGGGGCUGCAUGUUCCAUGGAACUGGCAGGAGCUGGGGACAGGCAGGAGCCUCUCCCAUUCUGAGUCGGGGUGGCAGCUCCCUGCAUGCCGCUGCAGCUGCCCAAGCCACGGCUGUGGACCCAGGCAUCCCUGUGCUCUCGGAGCCUGGGAGCAGGUGGGAACCCCACCCUCCCAGGUGCAGCUGCAGCCGCCCAAACCACAGCUGCAGACCGGGGCCUCCCGCUCCACGGAGCAGGCUGGAGUCCUGCCCCACAUCCCACAUAGCUGCACCGGCCCUAACUGCCACUGCGGACCCAGGCAUCUCUGCACUCUUGGGGGCCCUGGAAGGCCCCCCUGCCCUCACAGGCUUGGAAAUGCCUGCUCCCACUGCCUGGCUUCUCCUUGCUGUCGGCACCUGCUCUGAUCUUGGGGCAAAAUUGGGGCCGAGCCUGGGUUUUGUCACAGCCCAGCCAGGUGUGCACACACUCAGGGCAGUGCUGACAUGCCAGCCCCCUGCCGUCUCAGCCCUCUCCAGAUUUUGGGCACUGAUGAGCAUAGGAAUGAAGCUGAGGAGGAACUGAGGGCAGCUUGGCAGUGGCCUGCAGACGCCCCUUGGUACCUAUAGCCUGGGCGCCAUGAAUGGCAGCAGGAGGCAGACAGGUUUCUGGGCAGAAGGGGGUGAGUCCCUGGUGAGGCCCACCUUCAGGCCAGGGAGGCCCUGAAGGCUGGGGGCCAGGCUGUCAGUGCCGUGGACUGGAGUGCGAACUUGUGUUGCCUUUUCUGGGCCUGCCCAUGGCCGCCCAUGGACCAGUCAGCAUGAACUUCCCCCUCUCUGAGGCUGACAGAAGCCCCAGGCUCAGCCAGAGCUGAGCAGACGUCGGAUGACCAGCUGUAGUGAGGAACUGCCCUCUCCAGGGCCUCCUCUGAGCUAUUGUCACUCAAUAAAGCUCCUCUUCG
rnacentral:lncRNA from 1 species